rnacentral:misc_RNA from 1 species
AAGUCGUAACAAGGUUUCCGUAGGUGAACCUGCGGAAGGAUCAUUAACACGUUCCAAACGUAUCAACCAAACCGCGAACUUUGACGUUGAGGCAUGUAUUGAGGAGUGGGUUCGUCCCUUCCUCUCUGCAUUGCCACCGAACAUGCUAGGGGAUUUAGUGUCUGCGUAGGGAGUGGGUCCGUCCCUUCCCUCACAGCGCUAGCCUUUAGCACUUGUUCACAUUAACCCAAACCCUGUUUGUUGUUAUUAUUUCUUCUGCUUAAAGGACGUGGCGUUUAUCGCUAUUGUCUCUUUAUUGCAAACUUGUACAACUCUUAGCAACGGAUGUCUUGGUUUCC